rnacentral:rRNA from 1 species
UACAGAGGUGGCAAGCGUUGUUCGGAAUUACUGGGCGUAAAGGGCGCGUAGGCGGCCUUCUAAGUCAGACGUGAAAUCCCCCGGCUUAACCUGGGAACUGCGUCUGAUACUGGGAGGCUUGAGUAUGGGAGAGGGAUGUAGAAUUCCAGGUGUAGCGGUGAAAUGCGUAGAUAUCUGGAGGAAUACCGGUGGCGAAGGCGGCAUCCUGGACCAUAACUGACGCUGAGGCGCGAAAGCUAGGGGGAGCAAACGGGG